rnacentral:rRNA from 1 species
GAACCGCAUGGUUCUUGGCUGAAAGAUGGCGUAAGCUAUCGCUUUUGGAUGGACCCGCGGCGUAUUAGCUAGUUGGUGAGGUAACGGCUCACCAAGGCAAUGAUACGUAGCCGAACUGAGAGGUUGAUCGGCCACAUUGGGACUGAGACACGGCCCAAACUCCUACGGGAGGCAGCAGUAGGGAAUCUUCCACAAUGGACGCAAGUCUGAUGGAGCAACGCCGCGUGAGUGAAGAAGGCUUUCGGGUCGUAAAACUCUGUUGUUGGAGAAGAAUGGUCGGCAGAGUAACUGUUGUCGGCGUGACGGUAUCCAACCAGAAAGCCACGGCUAACUACGUGCCAGCAGCCGCGGUAAUACGUAGGUGGCAAGCGUUAUCCGGAUUUAUUGGGCGUAAAGCGAGCGCAGGCGGUUUUUUAAGUCUGAUGUGAAGCCCUCGGCUUAACCGAGGAAGUGCAUCGGAAACUGGAAAACUUGAGUGCAGAAGAGGACAGUGGACUCCAUGUGUAGCGGUGAAAUGCGUAGAUAUAUGGAAGAACACCAGUGGCGAAGGCGGCUGUCUGGUCUGUAACUGACGCUGAG